rnacentral:rRNA from 1 species
AGUGGCGGACGGGUGAGUAACGCGUGAGAAUCUGCCUUGGGGUCGGGGACAACCACUGGAAACGGUGGCUAAUACCGGAUAAGCCGGUUGGUGAAAGAUUUAUUGCCCGAAGAGGAGCUCGCGUCUGAUUAGCUAGUUGGUGAGGUAAGAGCUCACCAAGGCAGCGAUCAGUAGCUAGUCUGAGAGGACGAUCAGCCACACUGGGACUGAGACACGGCCCAGACUCCUACGGGAGGCAGCAGUGGGGAAUUUUCCGCAAUGGGCGAAAGCCUGACGGAGCAAGACCGCGUGAGGGAGGAAGGCUCUUGGGUUGUAAACCUCUUUUCUCAGGGAAGAAGCUCUGACGGUACCUGAGGAAUCAGCCUCGGCUAACUCCGUGCCAGCAGCCGCGGUAAUACGGAGGAGGCAAGCGUUAUCCGGAAUUAUUGGGCGUAAAGCGUCCGCAGGUGGCGAUUCAAGUCUGCUGUCAAAGCACGGGGCUUAACUCCGUAAAGGCAGUGGAAACUGAAUAGCUAGAGUGCCGUAGGGGUAGAGGGAAUUCCCGGUGUAGCGGUGAAAUGCGUAGAGAUCGGGAAGAACAUCGGUGGCGAAAGCGCUCUACUGGACGGCAACUGACACUCAGGGACGAAAGCUAGGGGAGCGAAUGGGAUUAGAUACCCC